UUUCUCUCUCUCUUUCUAUCUCUCUCUCUCUUUUCUUUCCUUUCCUCCCUUUUUAACGUUUUUCAAUUCGCCGCCACGCUUUUCAACUCUCAAGCCGGUCACUGCCGUCGCGAAUCGGCAGUUGUUCCCCGGCGCGUGCAAUGUCGCGACAGUGAUUAUGUCUAUCGUGCCCUCGUCCAUCCGACCUCGAACUUGCACCGAGGAUCGCUGUUUCGAUCGCGGGGUGUAAGAACGGAACGUGCACUCCUUCCUUCGCCAAGUUGGUGCUGGCACACGUGGACAAACGGCGCGGCGAUAACGAGGGCACCGCCGGGAUUCAGUCAAUUGGUACCGCGCGUCGUCGGUGAAACGAUGAUAUUUAACUGCGACCCGCGUGAUACACAGUGACAGCCGGUGUGGAGGAAAAGGGAAGACCGGAAGACCGUCAGACCGCAGACGGAACCAGAAGUUGGAGGAUGGUGGUUUGAAAUCGACGAGACGACACCGGGAAGGCGACGCACGUGAGAGCGACUCUCUGACAGAUCCCCCCACAAGGUGAAUAGACACAACGAUGGUAGAUACACAACAUUUUUGUCUGCGAUGGAACAAUUACCAGAGCAGCAUAACCUCGGCGUUUGAAAAUCUGCGGGACGAUGAGGACUUUGUGGACGUGACGCUGGCCUGCGACGGCAAGAGCCUGAAAGCGCAUCGCGUCGUUCUCUCCGCCUGUAGUCCGUACUUCAGAGAAUUGCUCAAGAGCACACCGUGCAAACACCCAGUGAUAGUGCUCCAGGAUGUAGCGUUCAGCGACUUGCAUGCCUUAGUGGAGUUUAUAUAUCAUGGCGAGGUGAACGUGCAUCAACGUUCUCUCAGUAGUUUUCUGAAGACGGCGGAGGUCCUCAGGGUAUCGGGCCUCACGCAACAGACCGAUCAAACCGACAGAGAUGAGCUGUCGCAUGUCCGCGCGUUGGCGGCCGGCGGCAAUCACCUGCCGUUCCACGAGAAGUCCGAGGAGACUUUCCCUCGCGGCGGCUCGCCUACGCCUGUGACCCCGACGCCGACCACCGUGCAGCAGCUACUGCGCCGUGCCCAGAUACGUCGAAACGAGAGACGCACCCCGGACCCGCACGAUGAGUCGGCGAAGAGACCGCGGGUGCCGUCGCCGCCGCUCAACAAUAACGACGCCACACCCACGGACUUCUCGAUGGUCAAGAACAACCACCUGUCGACGAAGGUGGAGGGCAACGGGGUGCACGACGAGAACAGCCUCGUCGAGGAGAAUAUAAAGUGCGAACCGUUGGAGUUGACCGGUGGUAACGGCGGCGGCAACGCCGGCAACGAGGACUCGUCGGAUUCCGGCGCCGCGGCGUCGGACCGGCCGCCCGCGUCCGCGAGCAGCAACGAGCACGAGCCCGAACCGGAGCACACGUCCGCGCAGAACUUCUUGCCGGAGAGCAAGCUCUUCACGUCGACGCCCGGCAGCUUCAACUUCAGUAUGGCGGCGCUCACCACCGAUCACACGCCGUUGUCAGUGAAAUUUCCAGGGUUGGGCCACGGCUUGCAGACGCCGGAUCUAGCGGGCACUUCGCAAGGUCCACCCUCGGCGAUUCUCGCGAUGCGACUGUCGCAUCCGUUACACGGUAGCCUGCUGCCACCAGGAAUUUGCUAUACGUGCGACGUAUGCGGCAAGACUCUUUCCACGAAGCUCACUCUAAAGCGGCAUAAAGAGCAGCAGCACUUUCAACCCCUGAACAGCGCGGUCUGCGCGUUAUGCCACAAGGUGUUCAGAACGCUCAACAGCCUGAACAACCACAAGAGCAUCUACCAUCGUAGGCAGAAAUAGAAGUGAUUGCGCACGCGCGUAUCUUACGUGCCAAGAGACAUCACGAAACGAGCUUAAUAGACGCUAAAAUAAAAAAAAAAAAAAACGUUCCACGUUGUUCAUUGAUGGUCGUGCGAUCGACCAGGUUAUCGACAGCUUAUCGACAGCGUGGCCAUCCUGAGAGAAUCGCGUCGUUCUCUUCUUGAAUUCUUGCUGUUUCUAGCCAAAAAAUGAAAGGAAACAAAAAGAAAAAACGACAUCGAAUGUUGAAAAGGACUAGUGAUUUCAGCCUGUUGCUCGAUUCAUCGAUCCACAAUCAUUAUCGCGCGUAUUUAACGCUGCAUAUAACCGUCUGAUUUUAUUUUUUUAGUUUAUGUUAUCGAAAUGUGCGUGAUCUUUUGAGAGUAUUUACGUUGUCAUCCAUGGUUUCAAAUCGAUCGUAUUUAGCUAUAUUUUUUUUUUUCGCUUACAAUUUAUUAGGAUGUCGGAAGCAGAAAAACUGCGGUAUACAAUCAUCCAAAAUAAUUCAUAGCAAUUUGCCAACCCAAGCUUUAAGGAAUUAAUACGAAAGCCACGUGUAAAGUCGGUGCGAGAUGAGAAUCAGACGGACACUUUCAGCGAUAAAUAUACGGUGAAAAUUGAUACGGACCUUUGACCGGUAACGGAUUGCCGACGUUUUUUACGAGAUUUCAAACGCAAUUGUUAUGUUAUUAUCACCUGUCGAUUGUACAUCGGUCAUAAUGGGUUUGACAUUUGGGACCAUGGAAUGUGUGGGAUCUAUGGAUUCUUUUAGCCACUCGAUCAUUCGAGGAAGAUGCGAUUAUCGGAAACAACUCGGUCAUUCUUCGAGAGACAAUAGGAAUUUGCGUCGAAUGUCGCCAUUGUGUUCACGAUGUUUGUGCGUGUGUCCUUAAAAAUCUUCCACGUGUGUCUCAGCCGCUCGGCAACAAUUUUUGUAAAAAAAAAAAAAAAUAAAAAAUAAAAAAUAAAAAAAAAGUAGGGAACGUCGGUUCGCGCGCGAGAAAUCAGUGCUUCCAGAUGCGAGUGUACGUGAUAAAUAUCGUUGUCAUCGCGCGAUCUUGGAAUCGGUAGAGUACUCUGAUCGCGCCAUUAUUUUAUAUAUAUACAUGUAUAUAUUCCCAUUUUUAUUUCAUAAUUGGAAUAUUAUGACGGUGAUAUUAACGUUGAUGUCGCGCUCCCGAAUUUUCAAGGAAGUUUUUAGGAUCUAAUUAAUUGACAAAGUUGUGAUGAAAAAGAAAUGAGACUGAACGGGAGUGCAAUCAAGGUAAUUCAAAUUAGGGUUGAUUUCCCGAGUUGAUUCUAAUCGAUGCGUAAUCCUCGAGGCGUAUGUUGUUAGCAAAUCAUUUAUUCGCAACUAUCGCACGUAAUUCACGGAAGCGAUUACUUAGAUUUCGCACGUAAGAUUCGCACACGCAUACACGUAGCCGCGCACAUAUAUACGACACACACACACGCACACACACACCCACACACACACACGUACGCGCACAUACUGGCGUUAUGGUUUACGGGACCCAGUGCCAAUGGAUUAAAAUAGAGAAAAAUAAUCUUAAUUUUAUAAUUACUUGUACUUAUUUUUCUAGUGUACGUGCUUUUCGUAUGUUCUCUUGUUAUUUUCGUUAAAUUUCUGUUAAUACUGUAAGAAUAUAAAUGAUCACACGACAGAUCGGAUACAACAGACUGGAUACAUGCGAAUGCCAAUUUUAAUGUCGUUCAGGAGAUUGACAUUGGUGUAUAUAAUCUCGUUGAGUGCAAUUUCCGGCGCUACAGAUACAGCGAUUAUCGUGACUCGCGUCGUUUACCGUGAUUUCUUUCGCGAAUGAAACACGAAACUCAUUCUGUGACACAGAGAUUUGAAACUCGCCGUGAUUAUAUAUUGCUGCUUCGGUCUCGGAAAAUCGUUAGUGUGGGAUUUAAUUGUAGACGCAUUUUGGCUAAAGCUUCGGCAUAGUUUCGCGAUACGGAACAAGGUGAACACCGUUGUUCGAAACCGUGUCAAGAGCGCUUAUUGGCUAUGAAACGCGAAUUAAUUUAAGCUUUAUUAGUUAGAUCGAUAUAAAACGCGAGAAUGGGAUAUAUUAUUCGAGAAAGGCUUUUUGUGUCGAAGACACGAUCGUCCAACUAAAUAUAGGUAGAAGCGUCCAAAAAUAAAUUUCGAUAAGACUGCAAGCGAGCCUCGGGAUAGGCACAGCAUUUGAGAGUUUAAUCGUUUCGAUAUUAAAUAUUGCCCGAUUUACAUGGUUCCGAUGGUUUGAAGAGAAAUGGUUUUCGAAAAUAUGAAGAGAGAAAGAGAGAGAGAGAGAGAGAGAGAGAGAGAAAGAGAGAGAGAGAGAGAGAGAGAGAGAGAGAGAGAGAGAGAAAGAGAGAGAGAGAAAGGGGAGAUAAACACAUCUCCAAUGUAUAAUUGAAGUGUACAUGUGUAUACAUAUGUAUGUGUGUACGUAUACAUAUAUGUAUACGAUAUAUCUGUAUAUAUAUAUAUUAGAUUAAAGAGGCACGCCGAGCGUGUACGAGCUGUUGCGAGUAAUCGAAUCAUAAAUCGCAUGAGCGUAAACGAAUGAGGUAUGCGCUAUUUUCUUAAUGUAUCAUACAACGUAAUAGGCACGAAGAAGGGCUCGUAACGGAUGUGGAUUCGUUUCUGUCCAUUCGUUCAGGAAAUAGAGAAAAAUUUUUAAGAUAAUUUUCUUCUGAGAAAAGAAA